ACGCCGUACUUAUUUGUGUUAUAAUACCCUACUUGAUUGCAAAACCUGUCUCUUUGAACGACAUUAUAGCGGCGGAAUCUAGGCAAAAACCGAAAACUGCAACUACACAACGUCCUACAACACUACCAAAUACGUUUGAACGAAUCUCAUUCAACGAAGUAUUAAAGUCAAAGCUGCGCAAAACCAAAAAACCUAAACAAUCUGACUUGGUGUCAAA